rnacentral:rRNA from 1 species
CACCUCCUCACCAUUUGAGCAAUGGGGGGACGCAGGAGGAUAGGGUAAGCGCGGUAUUGGAUAUCCGCGUCCAAGCAGUUAGGCUGGGAAAUAGGCAAAUCCGUUUCCCGUGAAGGCUGAGCUGUGAUGGCGAGCGAAUUAUAGUAGCGAAGUUCCUGAUUCCACACUGCCAAGAAAAGCCUCUAGCGAGGUGAGAGGUGCCCGUACCGCAAACCGACACAGGUAGGCGAGGAGAGAAUCCUAAGGUGAUCGAGAGAACUCUCGUUAAGGAACUCGGCAAAAUGACCCCG